CCUACGGGCGGCAGCAGUGGGGAAUAUUGCACAAUGGACGCAACUCUGAUGCAGCAACGCCGCGUGAAGGAAGAAGGCUUUCGGUAUGUAAACUUCUUUCAGGAGGGAAGAAAAUAACACUAUACCCCUUAAAUACGCCACCGCUAACUGCGCGCCAGCAGCCGCGGUAACACGUAGGUGGCAAGCGUUCUCCGGAUUGACUGGGUGUAAAGGGCGUGCAGGCGGAGACGCAAGUCAGAAGUGAAAGCCGCGGGCUCAACUCGCGAACUGCAUUUGAAACUGGUUCCCUAGAGUAUAGGAGAGGUAAGUGGAAUUCCUAGUGUAGCGGUGAAAUGCGUAGAUAUUAGGAGGAACACCAGUGGCGAAGGCGGAUUACUGGACGAUAACUGACGGUGAGGCGCGAAAGCGUGGGGAGCAAACAGGAUUAGAUACCCGUGUAGUC
rnacentral:rRNA from 1 species